GCCAGCGGCGAAAGCACGUUGGAUACACCAGUUCCCAAUGGAUCACUUGAGUUAAACAACGUCGCGUGUGAUAGGUAUGGGUAUUGGGUAUGAGUGCACUAUUCGCUUACG
rnacentral:rRNA from 1 species